UACGUAGGGUGCAAGCGUUGUCCGGAAUUAUUGGGCGUAAAGAGCUCGUAGGCGGUUUGUCGCGUCGGCUGUGAAAACUCGGGGCUCAACCCCGAGCCUGCAGUCGAUACGGGCAGACUAGAGUGCUGUAGGGGAGACUGGAAUUCCUGGUGUAGCGGUGAAAUGCGCAGAUAUCAGGAGGAACACCGGUGGCGAAGGCGGGUCUCUGGGCCGAUACUGACGCUGAGGAGCGAAAGCGUGGGAGCAAACAGG
rnacentral:rRNA from 1 species